rnacentral:lncRNA from 1 species
GGACCGUAUCCAGCACUGCCUGUAGGAACACAGAACAUAAUUAAUAAUAAUAAGUGGUAUGGAACAAGAAUCAAAUGAUAUCUGACUCUUACGAAUUGCUAGUUUCUGCGAUCCCCUCUGCGGAUCCAUCAAAUAUUUUCCUUAAGAGUUAAAAAAGUCAAAAAUCCAUCUCUCAAACUCGUGUUAUGGUUAUUCGUACACUUACCAAUACUCAUUGGCGUUGAAAUUCAUGUUUCCACGUGUGUAGUAGAGUGUCCAAAGAGUAGUUAUAGCCCUCAUUAUGCGUUGAAAAUAGAUCAAAUGUGUAGUAGAGUGUCCGAAGAGUAGUUACGGCCCUCAUUAUGCGUUGAAAAUAGAUCAAAUGUGUAGUAGAGUGUCCUCAUUAUGCGUUGAAAAUAGAUUGAAAGGAUGGAUAGGUAUAUCU